AUUCCCUGCAGCUAGGAAUCCCAAAAUUUAGUGAAGUUAAGGAUCAAACUACUUUAAAUUGAGUGGUUUCAUCAAAAGAUCGGACGACUGCGGACCCUUGACUUGACUAAAUGACGAUUCCUUAAUUGUAGGGAAUCCAAGUCCAUCCUUAGAAACCUAAAAUUUGAUGUUUGAAAUACAAUAUAUUGAUCUUGAUCUUGCUUUAUUAAUUGUUCGUAGUGGAACUUAUAUUAAUAUUGUAUUAUAUAUUAUCAUUCCUUUUCUUUUAGAACACAUAAAUCACAUCAUGAGAGAUGAAAAUAAUGUUAUUCCAAAAUGUCUAAUAAUCAACUUUUUUCUGUCCAAAAUUGUAUCUUAUGUAAGUAAAUAUUACCUUACUUUUGCAGGGUUUGUUUCGUUCUUUCUACUGCAUAUGUAAUUAUUAUUGUUGAAGUAAUACAAAUGUCGAUGGAAAAUUUUAUCUUCUCACCUUAAUUUUACCUGAUAUAAGUGAGGGGUAUGAAGAAAGGAGAAAAAAAUAGAGUUCUAAUAAUUGAUGUAAUCUCAAUAUAAAUAAAAUGAGAAACCAUUAGAAGGAAAGUUUGCCACAUGUCACUAUGGGAACCACCCCCCAUCUUGCGCCACGUUAGCAGAAACAUUAAAAAAAAGUCUAAAUAAAAAUUAUAAUACUAUUUUUGGAAAGGUUUGGAUUUUAACACGUGGUGCAGGGGUUGAUUUUCAGCAGGUUAUUUAAAAUUUAUAUGUUUCCAGGCUGUAUUUGAAAAACAAUUAAAAAAACAGAUUUUUAAACUUAGAUCCCUACUUUAUCUCUAACAGUCCCAGGCAGCCAAUCAACAUGUAGCCAAUCAACAUGUGUUGUUUCAAAUUUUACCAAUUCAAUAUUUUAUCUUCAUUAAAUGUUGUAAAUUGCUUUUUAAAAUUUAUCUUUAUUGGUUUACCCAAACCGCCCACACUAUCCAAUCGACGGACAGAGAGAAAACAAAUUGUGCUAUCUGGGUUGCUUUGCGUGUCUUCUCCAUGUUGCAACCAUUAACUUUACGUGUUUUAGAAGAUUAACAACAACUGCAGCCCUAUACCUAAUAAACUAAUAAACGUGAUGCCUCUAUGAACCCUAUAAUAUGCUGUUUAUUUGAAAUUUGAAACUGUUGCAUGCAUUCUUAUAUCGUUCUACAAAUAAGGAUGAAUCAAAGCAUGCACUGGAUCUGGAUCACUUCCUCUCCUUUGUUGAAAGCAUUGAUCUGGAUUACUUCCUCUCCUCUGGGCGGAUUUUUUGAAGGCAGAGUUGGACGGGGCGACGACGAUAGUGGCGGAAGGGGCAGCUGCUCUGGGUUCUCGAGGGUGAAGGCUAUGUUGAUUCGAGAUGGACCUUGAAUCAGAGAGACUGGGGUUUCAUCUAACAGUGAAGAUUUGUUAAUUUGGGAUUUGUUUGAAAAGAGGAAGCUCUUCAAUUGCAAGUCUCAACCCAAUUUAAUUUUUUCGAUUUUUCUCUGAGAUUGAAAACAACUCAUGAGCAUCUUCAGCGCAAGAGGGAAUGCGGCGCCGAGAAGCGACAUCAGUUCAUGGUGGGGAGGAUCUCGGUGAGAAAUUAAAUUGAAUCAAGCAGCAGGAAUUUUAUAUUAUGCUGUAGCAUAGCAACUGAACCUUCACCCCAAAUGUCGCACCCAAUUGUGAUGAUUUUUUGGAAGGAGUCGUCUUUGCUUGCCCUUGACCAAUGGAGUUGAUAUUGCUUCACUGGUGGAGAUACUUGGAUUGCAAUUUUAAAGAAGGCAGACAUGAAUCCUCUAAAAAUGGAGUUGGAAGGAAAAGGUUGCAUUGUUCUUAAAGAUGCUGACUAGGAUUUGGUUGCUGCAAACACUAUGAAGGGAGUUUUUUCAUACAUGUGAGUGGCAUAUUUGAUGCAGAAGCUGAGAAAAGCUUAUGAGGGAACAUUCAUGAGCAGUGGUGGGUUCACUCGGGAGUUAGGAGUGGAAGUUGUAGUAUAAGGGGAUGCAGAUCGAUUUGGUUGCUUAUGUUUAUCUUUUUAUGUCUAUUCCAGACUUGGUGUUAAGGUUGAAGCUUAAUGCACCUCUGAACAAAUAUGAGACUGAGGAGCCAAGCGUAUGCCUAUAAUUUGUUUUAUGUUUUGGUCUUUUUGAAUUUUGAUAUUGUUAUAUGUACAGUUGGAGUCUUCAAAUCUCAAAUGGAUUGUACUGUUAUGAAGAAUUGCCUUAUAUAAUAAUUCUUGGCACAUGUAUUGUUUCACCUUUA